AAGUCGAACGCUUCUUUUUCCCCGGAGCUUGCUCCACCGGAAAAAGAAGAGUGGCGAACGGGUGAGUAACACGUGGGUAACCUGCCCAUCAGAAGGGGAUAACACUUGGAAACAGGUGCUAAUACCGUAUAACAAUCAAAACCGCAUGGUUUUGAUUUGAAAGGCGCUUUCGGGUGUCGCUGAUGGAUGGACCCGCGGUGCAUUAGCUAGUUGGUGAGGUAACGGCUCACCAAGGCCACGAUGCAUAGCCGACCUGAGAGGGUGAUCGGCCACAUUGGGACUGAGACACGGCCCAAACUCCUACGGGAGGCAGCAGUAGGGAAUCUUCGGCAAUGGACGAAAGUCUGACCGAGCAACGCCGCGUGAGUGAAGAAGGUUUUCGGAUCGUAAAACUCUGUUGUUAGAGAAGAACAAGGAUGAGAGUAACUGUUCAUCCCUUGACGGUAUCUAACCAGAAAGCCACGGCUAACUACGUGCCAGCAGCCGCGGUAAUACGUAGGUGGCAAGCGUUGUCCGGAUUUAUUGGGCGUAAAGCGAGCGCAGGCGGUUUCUUAAGUCUGAUGUGAAAGCCCCCGGCUCAACCGGGGAGGGUCAUUGGAAACUGGGAGACUUGAGUGCAGAAGAGGAGAGUGGAAUUCCAUGUGUAGCGGUGAAAUGCGUAGAUAUAUGGAGGAACACCAGUGGCGAAGGCGGCUCUCUGGUCUGUAACUGACGCUGAGGCUCGAAAGCGUGGGGAGCAAACAGGAUUAGAUACCCUGGUAGUCCACGCCGUAAACGAUGAGUGCUAAGUGUUGGAGGGUUUCCGCCCUUCAGUGCUGCAGCUAACGCAUUAAGCACUCCGCCUGGGGAGUACGACCGCAAGGUUGAAACUCAAAGGAAUUGACGGGGGCCCGCACAAGCGGUGGAGCAUGUGGUUUAAUUCGAAGCAACGCGAAGAACCUUACCAGGUCUUGACAUCCUUUGACCACUCUAGAGAUAGAGCUUCCCCUUCGGGGGCAAAGUGACAGGUGGGUGCAUGGUUGUCGUCAGCUCGUGUCGUGAGAUGUUGGGUUAAGUCCCGCAACGAGCGCAACCCUUAUUGUUAGUUGCCAUCAUUCAGUUGGGCACUCUAGCAAGACUGCCGGUGACAAACCGGAGGAAGGUGGGGAUGACGUCAAAUCAUCAUGCCCCUUAU
rnacentral:rRNA from 1 species